AUACUUACCUGGCAGGGGAGCUACCAUGAUCACGAAGGUGGUUUUCCCAGGGUGAGGCUUAACCAUUAAACUUCAGAUGUACUAACCCCUGUGAUUUCCCCAAAUGUGGGAAACUUGGCUGCAUAAUUUGUGGUAGUGGGGGGAGGGGCUGCGUUCCCACC
rnacentral:snRNA from 1 species